AUCCAGGGCCAUGCCACCCUGAAUGCGCCUGAUCUCGGAAGCUAAGCAGGGUCGGGCUUCGUUAGUACUUGGAUGGCAGACCACCUAGGAGACCAGGUGCCGUAGGUG
rnacentral:rRNA from 1 species